rnacentral:rRNA from 1 species
CCUACGGGGGGCAGCAGUGAGGAAUAUUGGUCAAUGGCCGAAAGGCUGAACCAGCCAUGCCGCGUGAAGGUCAGUGCCCUAUGGGCGUUAAACUUCUUUUGUGCGGGAGCAAUAAUGGUCACGUGUGGCCAGACGAGAGUACCGUACGAAUAAGCAUCGGGUAACUCCGGGCCAGCAGCCGCGGUAAUACGGGGGAUGCAAGCGUUAUCCGGAUUUAUUGGGGUUAAAGGGUGCGUUGGCUGUGAGGUAAGUCAGCGGUGAAAUGCCCCCGCUCAACGGGGUGAAGUGCCAUUGAUACUGCCUUGCUGGAAUGCGGAUGAGGUGGGAGGAAUGUGUGGUGUAGCGGUGAAAUGCAUAGAUAUCACACAGAACACCGAUUGCGAAGGCAUCUCACGAAUCCGCGAUUGACGCUGAUGCACGAAAGCGUGGGUAUCAAACAGGAUUAGAUACCCGGGUAGUC